AACGAACGCUGGCGGCAGGCUUAACACAUGCAAGUCGAGCGCCCCGCAAGGGGAGCGGCAGACGGGUGAGUAACGCGUGGGAAUCUACCCAUCUCUACGGAAUAACGCAUGGAAACGUGUGCUAAUACCGUAUACGUCCUUCGGGAGAAAGAUUUAUCGGUGAUGGAUGAGCCCGCGUUGGAUUAGCUAGUUGGUGGGGUAAAGGCCUACCAAGGCGACGAUCCAUAGCAGGUCUGAGAGGAUGAUCAGCCACACUGGGACUGAGACACGGCCCAGACUCCUACGGGAGGCAGCAGUGGGGAAUAUUGGACAAUGGGCGCAAGCCUGAUCCAGCCAUGCCGCGUGAGUGACGAAGGCCCUAGGGUUGUAAAGCUCUUUCACCGGUGAAGAUAAUGACGGUAAUCGGAGAAGAAGCCCCGGCUAACUUCGUGCCAGCCGCCGCAGUAAUAC
rnacentral:rRNA from 1 species